rnacentral:rRNA from 1 species
AGAGUUUGAUCCUGGCUCAGGAUGAACGCUAGCGACAGGCUUAACACAUGCAAGUCGAGGGGCAGCGGUGGUGAAGGCUUGCCUUCACCAGCCGGCGACCGGCGCACGGGUGAGUAACACGUAUGCAACCUGCCUGCCACAGCCGGAUAAUCGGGAGAAAUCCCGUCUAAUACGGCAUAAUGCAUCGACGGGACAUCCUGUUGGUGCCAAAGGUUAAUUCCGGUGGCGGAUGGGCAUGCGUCGCAUUAGUUAGUUGGCGGUGUAACGGACCACCAAGACCACGAUGAGUAGGGGUUCUGAGAGGAAGGUCCCCCACACUGGUACUGACACACGGACCAGACUCCUACGGGAGGCAGCAGUGAGGAAUAUUUGGUCAAUGGGCGGGAGCCUGAACCAGCCAAGUCGCGUGAGGGAUGACGGCUCUAUGGGUUGUAAACCUCUUUUGCCGGGGAGCAAAAUGCCGCACGUGUGCGGUUUGGAGAGUAGCCCGGAGAAAAAGCAUCGUCUAACUCCGUGCCAGCAGCCGCGGUAAUACGGAGGAUGCGAGCGUUAUCCGGAUUUAUUGGGUUUAAAGUGUGCGUAGGCGGACGCUUAAGUCAGCGGUAAAAUUGCGGGGCUCAACCUCGUCGAGCCGUUGAAACUGGGUGCCUGGAGUGGGCGAGAAGUACGCGGAAUGCGUGGUGUAGUCGGUGAAAUGCAUAGAUAUCACGCAGAACUCCGAUGGCGAAGGCAGCGUACCGGCGCCCAACUGACGCUGAAGCACGAAGGCGUGGGUAUCGAACAGGAUUAGAUACCCUGGUAGUCCACGCAGUAAACG